UUCUGCAGAGACAUCUGAAUGACAGCGGGAGUGAAGGACAAAUCUAAUAAAGCCUAAUAAAACAUGAGCGUCGAAAUGUCAUUAAACUUACAAAGAUGAGACUCAAAAUCACCAAAAAGGACUGUGCCAGCUUUGCAAAGUAAAAGAGAAAUCCGUUAUCUGAAGUUGGGGCUCCUAGCAGCCGGCAACAACUGGUCCUCAAAGCUUCCCAUUCCUCCCCAGUUGGAACACCCAACACCUCAAGUGGA